rnacentral:rRNA from 1 species
GAUGAACGCUGGCGGCGUGCCUAAUACAUGCAAGUCGAGCGAACGGACGAGGAGCUUGCUUCUCUGAUGUUAGCGGCGGACGGGUGAGUAACACGUGGAUAACCUACCUAUAAGACUGGGAUAACUUCGGGAAACCGGAGCUAAUACCGGAUAAUAUUUUGAACCGCAUGGUUCAAAAGUGAAAGACGGUCUUGCUGUCACUUAUAGAUGGAUCCGCGCUGCAUUAGCUAGUUGGUAAGGUAACGGCUUACCAAGGCAACGAUGCAUAGCCGACCUGAGAGGGUGAUCGGCCACACUGGAACUGAGACACGGUCCAGACUCCUACGGGAGGCAGCAGUAGGGAAUCUUCCGCAAUGGGCGAAAGCCUGACGGAGCAACGCCGCGUGAGUGAUGAAGGUCUUCGGAUCGUAAAACUCUGUUAUUAGGGAAGAACAUAUGUGUAAGUAACUGUGCACAUCUUGACGGUACCUAAUCAGAAAGCCACGGCUAAUUACGUG